rnacentral:snoRNA from 1 species
AGCAGGUCGAGGCUGUGGUGGCUGGGAGCUUGCUACUGCACUCCAGUCUAUCUGGCAUCAUUAGUUUUUUUGGCCUUGUGUAUCUGAAACCUGGUGUUUCUACUGAUUCAAUA